CCAAGAUUAACAGAACAGACACACUUGCGGAUAAGGUGAAAGCUUUGAAGCAGGCUACUUUGGAAGUCGCAAAACUAUGCAACCACAAGAAUAAAGAUCGAUUUGAAAUCCAAUCGUCGAAGAUGAAUUAUAUUGACCCUCGCAUCGCAAUCGCUUGGUGCAAACGGAACGAAGUGCCUUUAACAAAAUUCUACAGUAAAACACAACAAACUUAUUUUAAAUGGGCCAUCGACGAGAUUAACAGGGUCGGGGCAUAUUUUGUGUUUGCAAAAUAUAACAUUUAACAAACCGUUUGUUAUUUUCAAACAUAUUAUACAUAUUAUUAUGUAAUUUAUUUUUUAUUUAUAAUAAAUCUCUGGAUUUUA